UACGUAGGGGGCAAGCGUUGUCCGGAUUUAUUGGGCGUAAAGAGCGUGUAGGCGGUCAGGUAGGUCCGUUGUGAAAACUCGAGGCUCAACCUCGAGACGCCGAUGGAAACCAUCUGACUAGAGUCCGGAAGAGGAGAGUGGAAUUCCUGGUGUAGCGGUGAAAUGCGCAGAUAUCGAGGAAGAACACCCCGUGGCUAAGGCGGCUCUC
rnacentral:rRNA from 1 species